CUGACAUCCCCAGAGAGUAAAGUCCUCUAUUUAUUUAUAGAGCACCUACAGCAUGGACAGCAGCAGUGCAAACUUCCCCACAUUGCCCCACCAAUGUGCCUCAACCUUGACCUGAAGAGACUACAUAUAGGAGUAAGAGUAGUUGAGACCUCAUGUCCUUGGCCUCU
rnacentral:sRNA from 1 species